GUGCUUGCUUCAGUAGCACAUACAAUAAAAUUGGAAUGAUACCGAGCAGAUUAACAUGCCCACCAUACAAGGAUGAUGACACACAAAUCUGUGAUUCCAUAUAUAUUUUU